GCUGGGGUUCCCGAGUUGUUCAAAGGGGGGAGACUUAAGUUCUCUUGCGUUACGUUCGGGGGUUCGAACCCCACCCCCAGCA
rnacentral:tRNA from 1 species